rnacentral:rRNA from 1 species
UACAGAGGUCUCAAGCGUUGUUCGGAAUCACUGGGCGUAAAGGGUGCGUAGGCCGCACGGUAAGUCAGAGGUGAAAUCCCGGAGCUCAACUCCGGAAAUGCCUCCGAUACUGCCGUGCUUGAGGACUGGAGAGGAGUCUGGAAUUCACAGUGGAGCAGUGAAAUGCGUAGAUAUUGUGAGGAACACUAGUGGCGAAGGCGAGACUCUGGACAGUUCCUGACGCUGAGGCACGAAGGCCAGGGGAGCAAACAGG